rnacentral:rRNA from 1 species
UCGGGGGCAGAGUGACAGGUGGUGCAUGGUUGUCGUCAGCUCGUGUCGUGAGAUGUUGGGUUAAGUCCCGCAACGAGCGCAACCCUUGAUCUUAGUUGCCAGCACCCUAGUUGGGCACUCUAAGGUGACUGCCGGUGACAAACCGGAGGAAGGUGGGGAUGACGUCAAAUCAUCAUGCCCCUUAUGACCUGGGCUACACACGUGCUACAAUGGACAGAACAAAGGGCAGCGAAACCGCGAGGUUAAGCCAAUCCCACAAAUCUGUUCUCAGUUCGGAUCGCAGUCUGCAACUCGACUGCGUGAAGCUGGAAUCGCUAGUAAUCGCGGAUCAGCAUGCCGCGGUGAAUACGUUCCCGGGCCUUGUACACACCGCCCGUCACACCACGAGAGUUUGUAACACCCGAAGUCGGUGAGGUAACCUU